rnacentral:lncRNA from 1 species
GAAGAUAAACACCAGAUCCUCCUUCUUGCUCUCCUUGGUCUCAUAGGUUGCAUCAUAGAGGGCAUAGCGGCAGUCCUUAUCUGGCAGCAUCUUGACAAAGGCAGAAGAGCACCGCCUUCUUGCGCUUCUUCACCUCCUCUGGCGUUGAAGACUUACGCACCUUCAUGUCGUUGAACACCUUGAUGACACCAUCAGAGACAGCCACACCGGAGGC